rfam:Aedes albopictus isolate Foshan contig74831, whole genome shotgun sequence.
AAAACAGCCCUUUUAAGGGCUACAACAUUGUUUUCACGAAAGAGUUU